CUGCUGAGGAGUCCCACAAUAGGACGAAACGACCGUCAAGCAG
rfam:Schistosoma mansoni strain Puerto Rico chromosome 5, complete genome